ensembl:lncRNA
GGUGGUGGUAUUAUGGGAUUGGUGAUGGUAGUUAUGGGGUGGUGAUGGUGAUGAUGGUAGUUAUUGGGGGUGAUGAUGAUAGUCAUGGGGUGGUGGUGAUGGUGGUUAUGGGGUGGUUAUGGUGGUUAUGGGGUAGUGAGAAUGGUAGUUAUGGAGUGGUGAUGAUGGUUAUGGGGUGGUGGUGGUGAUGGUAGUUAUGGGGUGGUUAUGGUAGCUAUGGGGUAGUGAUGAUGGUGAUGAUUUUGGUGAUAGUAGUUAUGGGGUUGGUGAUGGUAGUUAUGGGGUGUUCAUGAUGGUAGUUGUGGGGUGGUGAUGAUGGUAGUUGUGGGGUGGUGAGAAUGGUUGAUAUGGGGUGGUGGUGAUGGUAGUAAUGGGGUUAAGGUGGUGGUGAUGGUGGUUAUGCGUAGUUAUGGGGUUGGUGAUGGUAGUUAUGGGGUGUUCAUGAUGGUAGUUGUGGGGUGGUGAUGAUGGUAGUUGUGGGGUGGUGAGAAUGGUUGAUAUGGGGUGGUGGUGAUGGUAGUAAUGGGGUUAAGGUGGUGGUGAUGGUGGUUACGCGGUAGUCAGAAUGGUAGUUAUGUGGUGUUGAUGGUGGAUAUGGGGUGGUGAUGGUAUGUAUGGGGUGGUGAUGGUGGUGGUGAUUGUACUUAUGGGGUGUGAUGUUGGUUGUUAUGGGGUGGUGAUGGUGGGUGUGAUGUUUUUUUAUGGGGU